rnacentral:rRNA from 1 species
ARAACGACUCUCGGCAACGGAUAUCUCGGCUCUCGCAUCGAUGAAGAACGUAGCGAAAUGCGAUACUUGGUGUGAAUUGCAGAAUCCCGUGAACCAUCGAGUCUUUGAACGCAAGUUGCGCCCAAGGCCUUCGGGCUGAGGGCACGUCUGCCUGGGUGUCACGC